UGAGGACGUCUUUGUUCAGUUCUUGA
rnacentral:piRNA from 1 species